CACCUUUUUCAUCUCGUAUCUGAGUCAUGGCCAACAGUGUUGCAAACAGGAACCCGAGGUGUUCACUUCACUGUUGAAGGAACAAGAGGGCAUCUGCUGAAGUUUCAGAUUCCAUUUCUGCUCAGUAUCCAGUAGUGGAUCAUGAAUUUGAUGCAGUGGUGGUAGGCGCUGGAGGGGCAGGCUUGCGAGCUGCAUUUGGCCUUUCCGAGGCAGGGUUGAAUACAGCAUGUGUUACCAAGCUGUUUCCUACCAGGUCACACACUGUUGCAGCACAGGUAAGAGAAAGAUGCCCCACUGUGCUCCCACUCCGUGCAGGUCCCGCGCAGCCUCGCACUUUCUACCUGGGCAGCCUCCUGCCUCC
rnacentral:lncRNA from 1 species